AUUGAUUGGCGCAAAUGCUGUGGGGUUGGUUCUUGGUUGACCAAUCUUCUACAUGGCAGACUUUACGUAAGAGAAUGUUAUCAGUUUCAAUCAGUGUUCAAAGCAAAGGAAUUCAAAAAAACUGGAUGAAGAAUUUGUUUUAGUGUUUUAUUCCAGUUACUUAAUAAGUAGUCAUCCUAAAGAACAAGGUAAGAGUAAUCGUAUACAAUUUUAAAUUAAAUAGGAAAUUGUAAUUCACUUUUAUUUUGCAUUUAUUUCUGUUUUUCUUUUUCAGAUAAUCGUAGACCAGUACAAACCUUUACUCGCACUGUUGAGUCUUUAUUAGUUGAUUAAUACCAAAUUGUACAUUUGUACAUGAUUGAACAUGACCUCAGCAAAUAUCUAUCUUCAAUUGACAUAGACAAGAUAAUCUGUCAAACAUUUUUAAUGUAAAAUCCUACAACUACAGUAAGCCAGUCCUAUAUUGUGGUAAAUAAAAAGGGGUAAUAGUUUCAAUUUAUUGGAAUUAUAGUGAGACUUUAUGCCUCUGCUUCUGCAAUAUCCAUAAUUUCCACAGGAGUGGCAGCUACCCUCGUCUACAAAACGAAAAUACUAUUCAUUGUAAAUCGAAGAAGAACGAAGUUUAACGAACUAAACGUUCCAAAAUGUACCCGGAAAUACACGCAGUGAGUGAAAAGUCGGUCGGUGUGCCGGUUGUGUGAAUUAUGGAUUACUUUGUUCCGCUAACCAACUAAAAUACGAAAAGGUAAGUCUUCAAAAUUGAUAUUAUUUAUACUACAUUGUAAACCUUUUAGUAGGUAAAAUGACUUGCUUUAAUUUGCAUACUUUUGAACAUUAUUGAUUUAAA